rnacentral:rRNA from 1 species
UACGGGGGGGGCAAGCGUUGUUCGGAAUUACUGGGCGUAAAGGGCUCGUAGGUGGCCAACUAAGUCAGACGUGAAAUCCCUCGGCUUAACCGGGGAACUGCGUCUGAUACUGGAUGGCUUGAGUUCGGGAGAGGGAUGCGGAAUUCCAGGUGUGGCGGUGAAAUGCGUAGAUAUCUGGAGGAACACCGGUGGCGAAGGCGGCAUCCUGGACCGAGAUUGACGCUGAGGCGCGAAAGCUAGGGGAGCAAACGGG